GGUGGCUCAGUGGUAGAGCGCUUGCCUCACAUGUAUGAGGCCCUUGGUUUGAUUCCUAGCACCA
rnacentral:tRNA from 1 species